UUCUUCAUCAAAUACUACUUUUUGAUUGGUUGUUUUUAAUUAAACACAAUGCAUAGUAUCUAUGAUUAAUUUUUUAUUAUUUUAUAUAUUAUCAUUUAAAUUUACUUCUUAAAUGGUUUCUCUAUAGUGUGUUUGAUGAGCAGCUCCCAUUAUUUUCUUGCCUCUCCCAUUUAUUCUGAAUGAAAUUCUAUGCCUUGUAUAUAGAGAUCUUUCAUAUAAUAACUUCAACCAAGAUAAUCAGCAGCAAUGUCAAUCUGGAAAAGUGAACUUAUUUGCUACUACGUCUCCGACAAUUAACAAUUCGUAAGUUUUGCAUUUUGAAAACAUUGUCAUUUUUGUGUUGCAUUGGCAUAGAAAGAUUUCAUCAUAAUGAGAUUAGUUAUUCUGUAUUCUCAUAGUUUAAAAAGAAAGAAACUGGUUUUGUAUUA